rnacentral:rRNA from 1 species
AGGGCACCACCAGGAGUGGAGCCUGCGGCUUAAUUUGACUCAACACGGGAAAACUCACCCGGCCCGGACACUGUGAGGAUUGACAGAUUGAUAGCUUUUUCAUGAUUCAGUGGAUGGUGGUGCAUGGCCGUUCUUAGUUCGUGGAGUGAUUUGUCUGGUUUAUUCCGAUAACGAGCGAGACUCUAACCUACUAAAUAGUUGAUAUUUAUUUAUAAGGAUAUACAACUUCUUAGAGGGAUUUGCGGUGUUUAGCCGAAAGAAAUUGAGCAAUAACGGGUCUGUGAUGCCCUUAGAUGUCCGGGGCUGCACGCGCGCUACACUGGCAAAAUCAACGUGCUUGUCCUUCCCCGAAAGGGGCGGGUAAACCAUUGAAAAUUUGCCGUGAUUGGGAUCGGAAAUUGCAAUUAUUUUCCGUGAACGAGGAAUUCCAAGUAAGUGCGAGUCAUCAGCCCGCGUUGAUUACGUCCCUGCCCUUCGUACACACCGCCCGUCGCUGCCCGGGACUGAGCCAUUUCGAGA